rnacentral:lncRNA from 1 species
GUGGUGCUGAGAAGAAGGUGUAUUCCUUUUUAUCCCUAUUUAUUUUUCUCCAUAUGUCUAUUAAUUCUAAUUUUUCUAAGAUUUCAUUCACUUCUUUUACCUCUUUCUUAUUUAUUUUUUGAUUUGAUUUAUCUAAAUUUGAUAAUGGUUGGUUUAAGUCUCCCACUAGUAUGGUUUUAUUGAAGGAAGGAAGGAAGGAAGGAAGGAAGGAAGGAAGGAAGGAAGGAAGGAAGGAAGGAAGGAAGGAAGGA